rnacentral:misc_RNA from 1 species
GAUGAAGAACGCAGCGAAAUGCGAUAAGUAGUGUGAAUUGCAGAAUUCAGUGAAUCAUCGAAUCUUUGAACGCACAUUGCGCCCCCUGGUAUUCCGGGGGGCAUGCCUGUCCGAGCGUCAUUGCUGCCCUCAAGCACGUCUUGUGUGUUGGGCCCCGCCCCCCGGCUCCCGGGGGGCGGGCCCGAAAGGCAGCGGCGGCACCGCGUCCGGUCCUCGAGCGUAUGGGGCUUCGUCACCCGCUCCGUAGGCCCGGCCGGCGCCCGCCGGCGACCCCCCUCAAUCUUUUCAGGUUGACCUCGGAUCAGGUAGGGAUACCCGCUGAACUUAAGCAUAUCAAUAAGCGGAGGA